rnacentral:rRNA from 1 species
UACGUAGGGCGCAAGCGUUGUCCGGAAUUAUUGGGCGUAAAGAGCUCGUAGGCGGCCUGUUACGUCUGCUGUGAAAUCCCGGGGCUUAACCCCGGGCGUGCAGUGGAUACGGGCAGACUAGAGGUAUGCAGGGGAGAAUGGAAUUCCUGGUGUAGCGGUGAAAUGCGCAGAUAUCAGGAGGAACACCGGUGGCGAAGGCGGUUCUCUGGGCAUUACCUGACGCUGAGGAGCGAAAGUGUGGGGAGCGAACAGG